ACAGCGGCGGGGUCGCGCCGUCGGUGCGGGCGCUGCGGGGCCGCGGCGGGGCCGGGGAUGCCCGAGCGGCCGCAGCGCUCGGUGGGAACCGGUUGUUUAUCCGCUCCCCCCCAUCUCCCCCCCCCUCUUUUUGGGGGUGUUUAAUUUUCCUAUUUUCUGCCCUUUUUUUAUUUUUUUUCCCCCCUUUUUAAGAGCCCCCUGAGAAGGCAGCGAGGUGCCGUCCUCUCCGCCGGGUCUAUCUGUAAUUGAAUCUAGGUCAGUUAUUCUAAAGCAUGGGAGAGGCUGAUUCCCUCUUUCCGACAUCAGCCCGGAAUUUGGGAGGCGGGAGGGGGGGAGGAAAGGAGGAGAGGGGGGUCUUGCAAUUUCAUUUAAAAUGUAAUGGUGGAUGAACCGAUAAGCAAAUAGGGGGAAAAAAAGGCUCUGCUUAAAAGAAAAAAAAAAAAAAAAGGCAUGCUUUUAAUAUGCUUCCAGAUGGGGGGAAAAUGAUUUACAUGGGAGUUUAUUUCCUCUUUGCUGAUAUGAAAGAAUUACAGAUACAAAACCCACUGAUCUAUAGAAUAAAAAAAAAAAAAGAAAAGAAAUGUUAUUUUCCUGUAAAGGUAUCAGUUCAUUUAUAUUCAUUUAACCAUCCAUCCAUCAAUUCACUUUCUCACUCCCUGCACAUUCUCUCUGCCUCUGGUAAACCUACCCCACCAAUAUACUUUUCUAGAAUAUACAAUGAAGUUUCCUUAAAAAAAAAAAAAAAAACCAAACCAGAAAUGAGAUGAGAUUCAGCUAGAAGUAGGUAAAGUGAAGUUUCCCUUCUCCCCCCCUCACCAGCUCCUAUUUUAUGCUACAGACUCUGAGCAAAUUAGCAAAACGAAAAAGAAAAUGGUUUAGUUGGGGGAAAAAAAUGUCUGUGUAUAUCUCUGAAUAAUAUAUGCAACAUAGAUGUUCUAUAUGUGUCUAUAUGUAUAUAUAUCUAACAGAGGGAGAGCGGAGUUUGUGUGCUCAACAUGUAUGUGCUGCGUCUCUGUGCUUCUGUGAUACAAACAGUUCAUUCUCUGCCUCUAAAAUAAAAAUAUACACAUAUUGUACAGGUAUUUACAGCAUUCAUAUAUCCCAAGUGCACGGACACAGAUUUAAACACACACCCAGGCUGUGCAUGCUGGAGAUAUGCACGAUGUAUGUGGUGCCCACGCACAUGCAAAGGCAACAUCCCUCUGAACUGGAGCAGAGCCUUUGGAUUUAAGCAGAAAAUAUUUCCCCAAGUGUCCUUUGGGAGCGGAGAGGCACAUACGGUGCUGGAUGGCAGAAGCUCGUAUUUUGGGUCAUGUAUUGGUGUCGAUAUUUCGAGUCAGCCCGGCGGCCUCCAACCUCCCAAAUCCAGGGGCCACGGCUGUGUUAUUCUGCAUUUCGGACGGUAUUUAAAUCUGAGGUUUAAUUUCCCUUUUAGGAGUAGUGACUGGAGGGCAAACCCCUCUCGUUAACACCUCCAAGGAUUAAAACAAACCCCCCCCCACCCGGCUGAGCUCUUCCCGGUGGGGACAGAGGUGACUUCUUUCUUCCCGUGCUCCCGGCGUGACAUCCCUUCCUCGCAGGAAUAGUUCCAAGGAGGACGAGCCCGUGUUCCCAAAGCCAGAGGCUGCUGAACCAUCCGGUAUUUCCCGGAGACCUUCGCCGAGGCUGGAAGUGGAGGGGUGUGGAAUAACUUCUUUUUCUGGUUUGAAUGUAGUAGCAACAGCUGUGUAAGAAGUUGCUUCUUUUAUUGUCAAGAGCAGGUAAAUAGAGAGACUGCCAGAUAUGGAAAUACCUCUAUAUACAGAUAAAAUAUAUGUCUUUAUCUCCAGCUAGAUACGGAUAUGGAUCCGCACGGAAUUUUCCUCGCGGCCGCCUCAGCCGGCGCCCGGGGGGUCCUCGCCAGCCUUUUUCAAAACUCCAGGUAUAAAUAAAGGCAGCAGCCAAUCACCCCCAGAUCAAAGGAGCUGGUGACAAGGCAGGUGGAUCCCUGCCCUGCGCAGGUCCCCCACGCAGCCCUCUGAGCCACAUCAAAGGCUGCAGUGCCCGCGCUCGCACCCGCAGCGACACCUGAAACGCUGCUCCUGCCUCGUGCUCCCAACCCCACCUGCACAAACACACAAUCACAUCACAGCACAAUUAACAGUGCUAUCACCACCAAGGACUCGGAAAGGAAAGGCUGUUGAAAGAGAGUUCCUCAAGAUAAUCCUUUUAAAAGGUUCCCUUAAAAUGCAACCACUAGCGGGAAUAAGGCAGGUUUAGUUCCAACAGCUUAAUACCUCUGGGUAGCAGCAGAGUUUUAGAUCUUGUUCGGGUCUUUCCUUUAGUGGUGGCUUGACUUUUGAUUUGGGACUUGUGCUUUUUGGAGGAUCUCGUUGCUCUUGUGGUUCUCAAGGGAGAAGGUCCUGGAGGAGGCCCAGCCUGGCUCCCCUUUCCUGUUGACCCGUCGGGGACUCACAUCCUUGUUUCUGCUGGAAAUCAGAGGCGGUCACAUCCUGGCUGUGCUGGUGUUCCACACUUUUGUCUAAUGACCCAUUUGAGCAAUUUUCAGGGUGCUGCUUAAUUUGUUUUUUCUUACCCUGGAUGAUCCCCCAACUCCUGGGCCAUGGAAAGGGGUCCAGCUGCUGCCCAGCUCUUUCCUCAGCGGUGUCACUCCACUCCUCCGUGGUGCUCCAAGAACUCCUGCGUGGCACCACUGCCAGGGGGGUCACCUUGAAGGAGAGAUGAGGAGCUCUUUUCACGUUUCUUUCAAGAGGGUUUCAGUGAGGAAAGCAGCAGUGACUGAAAUUCCCCCUUUCCUUACAGCUCCUGAGUUUUCUCUUGAGGGUUUACAAACACCUGGACAAUUCCCCAUCCUGGAUUUUCCACUCCAUUGUGGCAACACGAUCUGACUCGAGGUACUGCAGAGGUUUGGCCUGGACGCUGGACGUGCUUUACCACAACUUUUUAACCACCCCUUGGCCUCCCAGCCCACGUGUUCAUGUCCAAGUGGCUGCAGGGCUGGAGGAGAUGCCCACAGAGAAAUGGGGGAGCCUCCGUUUUCCGCAGCCCCUCCGGGAGAUCUCCAGGGUGUUCUGGCCACAAGCACCUUCCCAGCCAAGCAGCUGCAUCCCAAAGCAUGAGAAGGAGGUGCAGAUUAGAAUGAGGAGUUGCCCUGAUGCCUUCUCUCUUGGGGGCAGAUGGUGCUCAGUGGCAUCAGCGUGUUUCUCUCUGUUCUCCUGCAUGAAGGUGAACCAUCAGGGUGGGACCAACUGGGGUCCCACAGGUCCCUUCCCUUUCUGGGAUACUGGGAGCAGCCUCUGCCUGGAAAGAAACCAUCCAGAAGGUCAAACUGUAUAUGAGCUUUAGUUUAGAGCCUUAAUUGAUAAGUGAGGAGAAAACCUUCCCCUCCACCCCUCCACCUGCACAUGUACAGACACCCCCCACACACAUGUAUAUAAACAGAUCUCUUUAAAUUUAAAUAGAUUUAUGCCCAAUGACAGGAGGGUGGAUAUGAGGCCAUUACAAAGAAAGAAGAUGUAACACAUCCUUAUGCUCUUUUGUGGGGAUUAAAUCUAUAGCAGGUUGCAUCCAGUGCUAAUACUCCUAUUAAUUUCUAUUUUUCAUUGUUGUUUUCACAUUUGUCAGGCUUUGAUGAAGGGAUAAUGAAGGGAAUGGAUGUUAACUGCAAAUUAAUCAUCCCUGUCUUGAGAGCCUAACACGGGUUCCUAUUUGCUCACCCUCUUCACACUUCCUCCAUCCCUCCCAGCAGCACCUGCCGGAGGCUGUGACAGAGCAGAGAAAGAAAGGAAAAGGAAGAGAGGGAAACCUUGCCUGAGAAACUUCCAAUGCUCCUUGAAAUUGCUGAAUUUGAAUUGUAAGAAAGCUGAGGAAGUUGAGUUCAUGCUGGUUUUGCAAGGGGAGCUUGUUGGGAACCACGUGUUGACCACGGGCAGGUCGGACCUUCAGUUGUGUUUAACAUCAGAGCUUUUGAGGGGCUGUGUUUUAGCUGGAAUGUGUCUCUGGCCAUGGCAGGGGGUUGGAAUGACAUGAUCUUUAAGGACCUUUCCAACCCAAGGCAUUCUGUGCCUCUGUGGCUCUGUGGUUGAUGCUCGUUGCUCAGGGAGGGAUGGAUCUAUUUGUGACGUAUUUACAAAUGUUCAGGCUUGUUUGUUUGCUUGCUUGCUUGGUUUGCAAACUUUCUUGCUUUGCUUUGGAGCUUGAUGUCCGUGAGCCUGGUCUUGUUGUGGUAGCUCUUGUUUGGGAGGCUGGAGGUUCCCUCGUGCCAGCAUGAAUGGGAACAGACUCGGGGAAAUCCCAGUUCCCCCAGUCCCGUGGGAGUGAGGCAGAGUCAGAGAGUGCCCAGCCCUGGUGACACAGAACUCAUGGAUCCCUAGUGACACAGCAACUCAUGGAUCCCCAGUGACACAGCAGCUCAUGGAUCCUCAGCCUGGAUACCCUGCCAGCAUCCCCUGGGCCAACGCUCCUGCUGUUUUAGGGAAGCAGCACUGCCUGUUCUUUAUGGAGAAGUGUGUUGGGGCUGCCCACUGUGCUCUCAUGUAGGAAGACUCCAGGAUUGAGGGGGAAGAAGCCCCACAGACCCAUCUGCUCAAACCCAGCAACAUCUGCUGAAUCAACAAAAAGCUGAAACUAAAAACCAGUUCCCAGGUAAGAGGUGUGAGGGCACAGUUCUGCAGCAGGGGACCUUUGCAUUUGAAAGGUUAUUUUCCAGUCUACUCCUCCAAAACCCAAUCCACUGGAUGGUAUCCCACUAGUCUUUGUUUUCCUUUGCCUUCCCAGCACACUUGGACACACUGCAGACUCCAGAGACUCAGAGGAGGCAGCAGGAGGUUUGGAUUUCACUUGCCACUCUUUCCUGGCUAGAGAGUUGUCCCCUGAGAGCACAUGUAAUGCUACAACCCCCCUGUAUUUGCUGCAAUGUUGGGAAUUAGCAGCAGAAAUCCUGAUGCUCCCAGUGAGGAUGCCACGGAUUCUGAGCAGCGUUGCCAAAAAAUUCCUCCCCUGUUGCCCUGCCACUGUAAAUAUGUCGUUUUGCCCUGAUGCCAUCACUGAUUGCCUCCAUCCCAACCUUCUGGACAGGUUUAUGACUGGAAUUAAGAAUGUAUUUUCCUAUCUUCCAUGUUUCCCCAGGUCCCUGAAGGCAGCGGGUGCUGCUGGAGAAGGUGGGGCUGGAGAUGACACCAAAAGAGCCACUGGAGCACAGUGCAAACAGUCUCCUCUCCCUGACCUUGGGGCAUGCUCAGGUCCCAGCUGGAUUUGUAUCCCUCAGGCAGUUUCUGUCCAGGGGAAGCACGAGGAGUCCCAUGUUGCCGCAGGUUGGAUGUCCUGGGAGCUGGGGAGGUCCCAGCUGGUUCCCCCUGUUGCCACACACUGACCUGCUGCUUCUGUGGGAGCUGCAUUCCCUCAGAGACAUCAGUAGCAUCCAGGAAAUGGCUGUUUUUCCCCCACCUCCCACCUUUUUGGGCUCCCAGAGCUCCCAUUUAGACUGCAGAGAGCAGGGCAGCAAUGUUUGUGUGCUGUUCUAAUGCUGGGUUUAGCAGUGUAAGUGCUCUCAGCAUUCCACUGAGCACGUCUCAUUCUGUCCCUCAUGGAAUGCCCAUCUGAAGGGAUGUAAUUCCAGCUUAAUUCCAGCUUCUACCUCUCCACACCAUUAUUUACAAGUACAGCUCCAUGCCCCCAUCAGACCUGGCUGCUGCCACCACUGAGCAAAAUGUAGUUAAUUUGGCACAUGCCAUAUUUGAACCAUCCUGACAAAACAAGUGUUGGCAUCUCCAACAGGCUCAGGAUCCCACAAUUGCUCCCUGAAGGGCUUUGGAAGGGAAUUCAGGGAGUCAUGGGAAGCUGUGGAACCCAAGGAGAUCAUCAUGGGGUGGCACCAGUCCCACAAGGGAACAUCCAGCAGGACCACGUGGUGUGUCCCUGGGAGGGCUGGUCAUGGUGGCUCCCUGGUCACUGCUGGAGAGGGGUUUGCUGAGUGCACCCACACAGGCUGCUGGCUGGCUGGGGUGGGUGGCUGCUGGCUGGGCACAGGUUGCCCAGAGAAGCUGUGGCUGCCCCUGGA